rnacentral:tRNA from 1 species
UUGCUGUUUUGUCGGCCUGUGUUAACGUUCCGUCAGAUUACAAGUUUGACGACAAGAAGGUCGUCGGCGUAGUGAUAGGUUCGAUCACCUAUGAAAGUGGG